GACGAACGCUGGCGGCGUGCUUAACACAUGCAAGUCGAACGGUAAGGCCCUUUGGGGUACACAAGUGGCGAACGGGUGAGUAACACGUGGGUGAUCUGCCCUGCACUUCGGGAUAAGCCUGGGAAACUGGGUCUAAUACCGGAUAGGACCACUGCCUGCAUGGGUGGUGGUGGAAAGCUUUUGCGGUGUGGGAUGGGCCCGCGGCCUAUCAGCUUGUUGGUGGGGUGAUGGCCUACCAAGGCGACGACGGGUAGCCGGCCCGAGAGGGUGACCGGCCACACUGGGACUGAGAUACGGCCCAGACUCCUACGGGAGGCAGCAGUGGGGAAUAUUGCACAAUGGGCGCAAGCCUGAUGCAGCGACGCCGCGUGAGGGAUGACGGCCUUCGGGUUGUAAACCUCUUUCAGCACCGACGAAGCGCAAGUGACGGUAGGUGCAGAAGAAGGACCGGCCAACUACGUGCCAGCCGCCGCAGUAA
rnacentral:rRNA from 1 species